GAUGAACGCUGGCGGCGUGCCUAAUACAUGCAAGUCGAGCGAAAAGACGAGGAGCUUGCUCCUCUGACGUUAGCGGCGGACGGGUGAGUAACACGUGGAUAACCUCCCUAUAAGACUGGGAUAACUUCGGGAAACCGGAGCUCAUACCGGAUAAUAUAUUGAACCGCAUGGUGCAAUAGUGAAAGACGGCUUUGCUGUCACUUAUAGAUGGAUCCGCGCCGCAUUUGCUAGUUGGUAAGGUAACGGCUUACCAAGUGAACGAUGCGUAGCCGACCUGAGAGGGUGAUCGGCCACACUGGAACUGAGACACGGUCCAGACUCCUACGGGAGGCAGCAGUAGGGAAUCUUCCGCAAUGGGCGAAAGCCUGACGGAGCAACGCCGCGUGAGUGAUGAAGGUCUUCGGAUCGUAAAACUCUGUUAUUAGGGAAGAACAAAUGUGUAAGUUACUAUGCACGUCUUGACGGUACCUAAUCAGAAAGCCACGGCUAACUACGUG
rnacentral:rRNA from 1 species